AGGAAGUUGGCUUAGUGGUAGAGUGCUUGCCUCGAAAGCAUGAGAUCCUGGGCCCAAUUCCUC
rnacentral:tRNA from 1 species